GCCCCUUCCUCUCCUCACCCAUCUCUCACGUCGCCUGUUUGCAUACUGGGGAAGCAGCCACACGGGCUAUGACCUGCCCUCUACCACCCAGAAGUUUGGUCCAGAGGCAGCGCCAUGCUCGGCCGCUUUGCUUUCGUCUUGGUCCUCCUAUUUCCCGGUAAGUCUUCCACUCCUUCCACAGUGCCAUCUGGGGAGAGGCUGUGUGGCUUCCUGCCACCCCUGCCUCACCGAUGUCUACCUUGCAGCUGGCGGGUCUGUCAUCAGGCCGGAGCAGCCGGCUUAUGUCCUGGGGCGCAAGGGCAGGUCGGUCACCUUGCGGUGCUUGGUCCACUUCACAGUCAGCUAUGUCCACUGGUACCGGCAGCAGGAGGGCAAGGCCCCCGAGAGGCUCCUCCAACUGGCCAUGUUCAAACCAGAUGUGCGGUGGGACUCGAUUUUGAAAGCGGAUAAAAUCACAGCCCUGGAGUCGCAGGACGGCAAUAGCUGCACCUUCUCGGUGCUGAAGCUGGAGAAGAGUGACGAGGGGGUGUACUACUGCGCUGCAUGGAACUAG